UCUUCAAAAAAAUUCUUGAUUUAUGUGACAAGUUUUGUUUUCAACAAAACUCAAUUGGUAUUUAUUUAAAAAGCAAAACAUGGAGAAAAUACAAGUCAGAGGAUAAAUAAAAAGAAAAUUAAAACAAGGAGGGACACCGACCACUGUGCACUGGGCCAACUGCACAGUGCCUGGCCCAAUUAGUCCAGCCCACCACCACCACUGUUGUCUUCCUCCUCUGUUCACAGAGGGGAGGUGGACGCCGAGCAGCCGCCCGUGGCCGCGAUGGCCACGUGCUGGCCAUCCCGCGCCUUCCAAUCGCCUCCCUUGAACUGGAUAAGGUCCCCUGCGCCCCCUCGUUCGAACCCUAGAUCGGAUCUUCCCCGGAUUCGCCCUCGCUCUCUGCCUCGCGCGUCCGAGCGCAGCCAUGGACGUGCCCCGGUAAAGCUCGCGGCCACCGGUCACCCCGAGCCACGAGGAGGCGUCCGAGAGCUCUGUCAUGGUCAUCUCCAUCACCACGCCGAAGGGCUUGAGCUAGGACGCCUCCAAGCCUCCCCAUCGUCCUCUUCUUCCGUCUGCACCACCACGGUCCUCGCCGCGAUUCGCCGCCUCCCGAGCUUCCUCAGCUUCCCCGACGCGCCCACGAGCACCACAACGAUGGAUUCCAGGAGCCAGACGCCACUGUCGAUGAUGACUGCUACUACUCGGGAUGUGCCUACUACUAUGUGCAAGCCACUGGCGAUGACCAGGAGUAGUUUAGGAGGAUCCCAGGCAGGAGGCCUGCGCCUCUUUCGAUUUGUAUCCCAGUUUGUGCUAGCCUUCUUAAGGCAAACGUAUUUAACUUAUGUCUGUACUCAGAUAGUGUUGUUUCUGCUUACUCGUCUUUGAUCGAGCUCUUAUAUUCGAGCCCUCGAGGCCCCUGGCUUGUAAUAUGAUGCUUGUAUGACUUAUUUUAUUUGUAGAGUUGUGUUGUGAUA